CAUUGUGGCUAUACUCGUUUGUCAGUGCCUGAUCUCGUCUGAUCUCAGAAGCAAAGCAAGGCCGGUCCUGAUUAAUACUUGGAUGGGUAAAUACAGGAAAUACCAGGC
rnacentral:rRNA from 1 species